UACGUAGGGUGCGAGCGUUGUCCGGAAUUACUGGGCGUAAAGAGCUCGUAGGUGGUUUGUCGCGUUGUUCGUGAAAACUCACAGCUUAACUGGGGGCGUGCGGGCGAUACGGGCAGACUGGAGUACUGCAGGGGAGACUGGAAUUCCUGGUGUAGCGGUGAAAUGCGCAGAUAUCAGGAGGAACACCGGUGGCGAAGGCGGGUCUCUGGGCAACAACUGACGCUGAGGAGCGAAAGCGUGGGGGAGCGAACAGG
rnacentral:rRNA from 1 species